UACGGAGGGUGCAAGCGUUAUCCGGAUUCACUGGGUUUAAAGGGUGCGUAGGUGGGCAAGUAAGUCAGUGGUGAAAUCUCCGGGCUUAACCCGGAAACUGCCAUUGAUACUAUUUGUCUUGAAUACUGUGGAGGUCAGCGGAAUAUGUCAUGUAGCGGUGAAAUGCGUAGAGAUGGGGGAGAACACUCGUGGCGAAGGCGGCCAGCUAGACCAGUUCUGACACUGAGGCGCGACAGCGUGGGGAGCAAACAGG
rnacentral:rRNA from 1 species